rnacentral:tRNA from 1 species
UGGCGCGUGGUGUGUGGGGAGCACGCCGGGGGACUCGCCCCGGAGGAGCGGGUUCGACUCCCGCCGUGACAGC